rnacentral:rRNA from 1 species
AGAGCGAACGCUGGCGGCAGGCCUAACACAUACAAGUCGAGCGCCCCGCAAGGGGAGCGGCAGACGGGAGAGUAACACGUGGGAACGUACCCUUCAGUUCGGAACAACCCAGGGAAACUUGGGCUAAUACCGAAUACGUCCGUAAGGAGAAAGAUUUAUCGCUGAAGGAUCGGCCCGCGUCUGAUUAGCUUGUUGGUGAGGUAACGGCUCACCAAGGCGACGAUCAGUAGCUGGUCUGAGAGGACGACCAGUCACACUGGAACUGAGACACGGUCCAGACACCUACGGGUGGCAGCAGUCGAGAAUUUUUCUCAAUGGGGGCAACCCUGAAGGAGCGACGCCGCGUGGAGGAUGAAGGCUUUCGGGUUGUAAACUCCUGUCAUUUGAGAACAAGUGUUGGCACGUAACUACUGCCAACUUGAUAGUAUCAGAAGAGGAAGGGACGGCUAACUCUGUGCCAGCAGCCGC